GAUGAACGCUGGCGGCGUGCCUAAUACAUGCAAGUCGAACGCUGAAGGAGGAGCUUGCUCUUCUGGAUGAGUUCCGCACGGGUGAGUAACGCGUAGGUAACCUGCCUGGUAGCGGGGGAUAACUAUUGGAAACGAUAGAUAAUACCGCAUGACAACAGUUAUUGCAUGAUAACUGUUUAAAAGGGGCAACUGCUCUACUACCAGAUGGACCUGCGUUGUCUUAGCUAGUUGGUGAAGUAACGGCUCACCAAAGCGACGAUACAUAGCCGACCUGAGAGGGUGAUCGGGCCCACUGGGACUUGGACACGGCCCAGGCUCCUACGGGAGGCAGCAGGAGGGAAUCUUCGGCAAAGGACGGAAAUCUGAACGAGCAACGCCGCGGGAGGGAAGAAGGGUCUCGGAUCGGAAAGCUUCGUUGUAAGGGAAGAACGAGUGUGAGAGUGGAAAGUUCACACUGUGACGGUACCUUACCAGAAAGGGACGGCUAACUACGUG
rnacentral:rRNA from 1 species